rnacentral:misc_RNA from 1 species
CACAAAAACAACAACAGCAUUGAAGCUAUCAACGAAAACAAUUUUUUUUUUUUUUUU